CUUCAGUUUAUACUUGAUCGUAUCAGUGCCCGGCUAGCGGGGUGGAAGGGACGAAUGUUGUCCAUGGCGGGCAGGCGCGUUCUGGUCCGCUGCGUCCUCUCGGCCUUGCCCUCCUUCGCUCUUACAGCGCUUCGAGUCCCAAAGAAGCCGCUGAAGGAAAUUGACAAGUGCAGGCGGAGAUUUCUCUGGGGAAAGGACCAAGAACUCUCGGGCGGCAGCUGCAAGGUUAGCUGGGAUCGGGUCUGCUCCCCGGUCGAGCAU
rnacentral:rRNA from 1 species